rnacentral:rRNA from 1 species
GUCGUGAGAUGUUGGGUUAAGUCCCGUAACGAGCGCAACCCUUGUCCUUAGUUACCAGCACGUAAUGGUGGGAACUCUAAGGAGACUGCCGGUGACAAACCGGAGGAAGGUGGGGAUGACGUCAAGUCAUCAUGGCCCUUACGGCCAGGGCUACACACGUGCUACAAUGGUCGGUACAAAGGGUUGCCAAGCCGCGAGGUGGAGCUAAUCCCAUAAAACCGAUCGUAGUCCGGAUCGCAGUCUGCAACUCGACUGCGUGAAGUCGGAAUCGCUAGUAAUCGUGAAUCAGAAUGUCACGGUGAAUACGUUCCCGGGCCUU